rnacentral:rRNA from 1 species
GGAUUAGAUACCCUGGUAGUCCACGCCGUAAACGAUGUCUACUAGCCGUUGGGAGACUUGAUUUCUUAGUGGCGCAGCUAACGCAAUAAGUAGACCGCCUGGGGAGUACGGCCGCAAGGUUAAAACUCAAAUGAAUUGACGGGGGCCCGCACAAGCGGUGGAGCAUGUGGUUUAAUUCGAUGCAACGCGAAGAACCUUACCAGGCCUUGACAUCCUCGGAACUUUCUAGAGAUAGAUUGGUGCCUUCGGGAACCGAGUGACAGGUGCUGCAUGGCUGUCGUCAGCUCGUGCCG